AAUAUUCGACAAUGUGCGAAAGCCGGCUUCAGCCAUCCCGCGUGUUUGAAGAAGUCCUUCGGAUGGUAAAGCACUUUAAGUUGGGAGGAGGUGCAGUGAGUUAAUACCUUGCUGUUGUUACGUUACCGACAAAAUAAGCACCCGCUCACUUCGUGCCAGCAGCCGCGGCAAUAAGAAGGGUGCAAGCGUUAAUCGGAAUUACUGGGCGUAAAGCGCGCGUAGGUGGUUUGUUAAGUUGGAAGUGAGAGCCCCGGGCUCAACCUGGGAACUGCUUUCGAAGCUGGCAAGCUAGAGUAUGGCAGAGGGUGGUGGAAUUUCCUGUGUAGCGGUGAAAUGCGUAGAUAUAGGAAGGAACACCAGUGGAGAAGGCGACCACCUGGGCUAAUACUGACACUGAGGUGAGAAAGAGUGGGGAGCAAACA
rnacentral:rRNA from 1 species